AUUGAACGCUGGCGGCAGGACUAACACAUGCAAGUCGAGCGAGCGGCGGACGGGUGCGUAAUGUAUGGGGACUGCCCGCUAGAGGGGGAUAACUACUGGAAACGGUAGCUAAUAACGCAUACUAUCGGAUAACCCAUAUGGGAUUAGCUAGUAGGUGAUGUAAUGGCUCACCUAGGAGACGAUCCCUAGCUGGUCUGAGAGGAUGAUCAGCCAGACUGGGACUGAGACCCGGCCCAUACUCCUACGGAGGCAGCAGUGGGGAAUAUUGCACAAUGGGCGCAAGCCUGAUGCAGCCAUGCCGCGUGUAUGAAGAAGGCCCUAGGGUUGUAAAGUACUUUCAGUCGGGAGGCGUUACCGACAGAAGAAGCACCGGCUAACUCCGUGCCAGCCGCCGCGGUAAUAC
rnacentral:rRNA from 1 species